CAGUAGCCACGGUAAUACGAAGGGGGCUAGCGUUGUUCGGAUUUACUGGGCGUAAAGGGCACGUAGGCGGACUGAUAAGUCAGGGGUGAAAUCCCAAGGCUCAACCUUGGAACUGCCUUUGAUACUGUUUGUCUUGAGUUCGAGAGAGGUAAGUGGAACUGCGAGUGUAGAGGUGAAAUUCGUAGAUAUUCGCAAGAACACCAGUGGCGAAGGCGGCUUACUGGCUCGAAACUGACGCUGAGGCGCGAAAGCGUGGGGAGCAAACCGGAUUAGAUACCCGAGUAGUCCCUGUCUCUUAUAC
rnacentral:rRNA from 1 species